UACAGAGGUCCCGAGCGUUGUUCGGAUUUAUUGGGCGUAAAGGGUGCGUAGGCGGCGGAGUAAGUUGGGUGUGAAAUCCCGGGGCUUAACCUCGGAAUUGCAUUCAAUACUGCUUCGCUCGAGUACUGGAGAGGAGGCUGGAAUUUACGGUGUAGCAGUGAAAUGCGUAGAUAUCGUAAGGAAGGCCGGUGGCGAAAGCGAGCCUCUGGACAGUUACUGACGCUGAUGCACGAAGGCCAAGGGGAGCAAACGGG
rnacentral:rRNA from 1 species